AUUGAACGCUGGCGGCAUGCCUAACACAUGCAAGUCGAACGGCAGCACGGUCUAGCUUGCUAGACGGGUGGCGAGUGGCGAACGGGUGAGUAACGCGUAGGAAUAUACCUUGAAGUGGGGGACAACCUGGGGAAACUCAGGCUAAUACCGCGUAAUCUCUUCGGAGGGAAGCUGGGGACCGCAAGGCCUGGCGCUUUAAGAUUAGCCUGCGUCCGAUUAGCUAGUCGGUGGGGUAAAGGCCUACCAAGGCGACGAUCGGUAGCUGGUCUGAGAGGAUGAUCAGCCACACUGGGACUGAGACACGGGCCAGACUCCUACGGGAGGCGGCAGUGGGGAAUAUUGGACAAUGGGGGGAACCCUGAUCCAGCAAUGCCGCGUGUGUGAAGAAGGCCUGAGGGUUGUAAAGCACUUUCGGCGGGGAGGAGGAUGAGUUGGUUAAGAGCUGACUUAUUGGACGUUACCCGCAUAAGAAGCACCGGCUAACUCCGUGCCAGCAGCCGCCGUAACAC
rnacentral:rRNA from 1 species